rnacentral:sRNA from 1 species
AGCAGCCGCGGUAAUUCCAGCUCCAAUAGCGUAUAUUAAAGUUGUUGCAGUUAAAAAGCUCGUAGUUGAAUUUCGGGACCAAUAUGUUGGUCGUGCCUCGGUACGCACUGGCAUUAUUGGUUUCUCCCUUCUGACGAACUACGAUGCCAUUAAUUUGGUGUCGUAGGGAAUCAGGACUGUUACUUUGAAAAAUUAGAGUGUUUAAAGCAGGCUCGCGCUUGAAUACAUUAGCAUGGAAUAAUGAAAUAGGACGUUUGACUCUAUUUUGUUGGUUUCUAGGAUCGACGUAAUGAUUAAUAGGGAUAGUUGGGGGCAUUAGUAUUCAAUUGUCAGAGGUGAAAAUUCUUGGAUUU